AACUCUUCUUCUCUGGCCCUCUCGGAUCUCCACUCUGUCCUCCCACUUUGCCCCAGUCCUCCACUUGUUCUCUGAUUAAUUCCAUGACCCUAAAUCAAUGCCUGGCACAUAACCUCUCAGUCUUUGUGAAACAAACGAAUGGGUUUACUUUCUCAACACCUAUGUUAGAAAAAGCAUAAAACUUAAAUGUGAUUUACUCCCUCUAAGGGAUGUGAACGUUUAAAUAGUAAGAUAUUGACAAAAAACCCACGUGGCGAAGUACAGGCCAGGUUGUUGGCUCUGGCUGAGAGGGGGAAGGAAAUUGAGAAGAAACGGCUGUGCCCAUUCGGGGACUGCGGGAAAGACCGUAAACCCUGUAGUACUCAACCAAUGAGGAUCCAGGGGAGGGACUCGCCUGCUAAGGAAUAAAUUGCUCAAACUGCCGAGUGUGCGUUUUUACCAGACACCCAAUCUUGCAAGACCACCGUUAAAGCCUCGCUCUGCUGUUCUCUUUGUCUCCGUGUCACUUAAGUUCGGACCAGUGAGCGCGUUUCUCACAAUUUGGGGUCUCAUCCGGAGUACUCGUGCCCGUGGAAGUGGGGGCCCAAGGGGAGUGGGGAGGCCCUGCCCGACUUAGGGCGGCCCGCUCUGUCUGGGUGUUUCAUCCUCCCUCGGAAACCGAGAAAAGACCCCCAGACUGUUGUGAGGAGACAGCCGCCGAACACAGAAGAGGAAAGGCAGGCACCGCGGCAACCAGGCAAUCUUGUGCAGGAGCCAAGGCUGAAAGGACUCGUCGCCCACGCUUCCCCCUCUAUAGUUCUUCGCUCACUGCUUCCAGCCUGGAGACCUGGUAUUAGUAAAGUCCUGGAAAGAAGAUCGACUCCAGCCCAGCUGGGAAGGCCCCUCCCAAGUGCUCCUGACCACAAAAACUGCAGUGAGGACGGCUGAAAAGGCUUGGACUCAUUACACCAGAAUAAAGAAAUUAACUGAGGGAUCUGGGAACAAAACGGAGAAUUGGAAGGUGUCCCAAGUAGCUAACCAACUCUUAAGGCUAAAACUAAAAAUAACCUAAAAAUGUUCGUUUUUAUUCUUCUCACUCUAUAUUUUAUAGGCAAAUCACAAGGAACCCUAAGUUGGAAAGGGACUCCUGAUUAUCCUGUCAAAUUAGUAAUCAAUAUUACAAAGACAUUAAGCCCCCAAACCAUUAGGUUUGAUGCCUGUCAAAUUCUCUCUUGUGGUGAUUUAAACGACCAGAGACAACUUUCUGGGGAAAAUAAAUACCUCUGUCCCGAACCAAGUCCAAGCCAGGAAGCCUAUGUGGCCUAUCCUUGCCCUACCUGGAGCGAUGUAUGGUGGACCACCCAGUUGCAAGGAUGGACAGCCAGCCCAGCCCACCUAGCCAGCCUGAGAGGGAGAUCUAGAGACUUAAAACCUUUAAAAGGAAAGCUCCACUUAGCUAAAGGCAUUCCCCCUAAGAAUUGCCAGGACAAACAAUGUAACCCUCUCUUGUUAAGUAUAAAUAAUCCUCAAGAUUUAGACUCAAACCCCGUAAUUGCUCCUCGUGUUUACGGACUUGGUGCAGAUGUUGCUGGAAUAGAUCCCGUGGGAAGGUUUGGUCUUAAUUUAAUCAAAGACAAGACUUCACGCAUAGUAACCACCCCUAAUACUGAGGUAGAUGAGCCAGAGCUUCCCAGUAAUGACCCUACACUAAUUACUGUAACAGAGGUAAAGGAUCUAAAACAAAACUCUUGGAAAUUGAGACAGGUUACAGAAACACCAAUGCCUGCGGAGAAUAUGUCAAAUUUUCAGCACUAGCUUUGAACAAAAGCAACUGUUAUGCAUGUGCUGCAGGACAGCCGCAGGUGCAGGUGGUCCUGUUCUUUCUCUACAGGGACACAGACCCCAGUGGGAUGAACUGCAUGUUGGCCCUGUAUAGGAUAAGGACACUUGGAAAGAUGAGAUUUGCAUGUGCUUGUCUCUACUUUUUCCUACACUAAAGAAGUCAGACCCGAUGGCAAUCUCCUUUUUCCAUAGGGAUGAUAAAUCACUCCUCAUGUCUCUCUAGGCAAGAGGAAGGUUUCACAACUCCUGUGGGGAAUUUGCUAACUUGUACCCACGUCCUGAAGUCUCUAAAGAGGGUUACUUCUCAAGAUUACUCAUCCCCCUAGCGGAUAUUUGGUGGUACUGCAGAAAGAGGAACCUGGGCAACUCAUUGCCAUCCAGCUGAACUGGGACUUGUGCUUUAGUCCAAUUGCCUAUUCCAUUUACCUUGGAGUUUCUCUCCACUCCCAAAGGGGAAAGAAUUUCUCAUAGAAAUCACAGACCAUUGCAAGGAUCCUUUGAUUCAAAUGUAUAUAGUGGCUCAAGAGGAGUCCCUGGCAGAGUCCCUAAGGAAUCUAAAGCUAGAAACCAAAGAGCUGCAGGGUUUGAAUCAGCACUCUUGGUGGUCCACCAUCAACAAAAACAUAGACUGGAUCAGUUAUAUUUACUAUAUCAACAAAGGUUUAUAAACUAUACCAGGGAUACUCUUCAAGAAGUAACUAGCCGAUUGGAUGCUACCAGCAGGAUGGCCUGGGAGACCAGGAUAGCGUUGACAUGAUGUAAGAAGAAAAAGGCAGAGUCUGUGUUGUGUUGGGAGGAAAAUGUUGUACUUUUAUGCCAAGUAAUACUGCCACUGAUAGUACUGUUACUAAAGCUCUACAGGGACUCACCACUUCAGCUAAUGAAUUAGCUGAAAACUCUGGCAUCGAUGAUCCUUUUACAGACAGUUCAGAAGGAUGGUUCGGGAAAUGGAAAGGUAUAGUUGCCUCUGUUUUAACAUCCCCUGUUAGAGCCGCCAGAGUUUUACCCGCUGUAGGAUGCUGUGUCACCCCUUGUGUGAGAGGCCUGACCCAGAGGCUCACACAGCCAUAAACAAAUACCUGUGACAUACACCCAAAAUAAUCUUAUGUUAUCGGAAAAUAAAUUUAACUAUGAAGAAGAGAGGAAAUAUAUAUUGGAAAAGUUUGAAAAAGAACUGGGCAUAAGUUGAAAUCCAUUCCUGGGAAUAAAAUCAGAAAUUCUUAAAUAGGAAGAGGAGCAACUGUUAGAAAAAGCAAGACCUAAAUGUGAUUUUCUCCCACUACGGGGUUUAAACAUUUUAACAGUAAGAUAUCGACAAAAACCCCACUGUAGGGAAGCACAUGCCAGGAAGUUCAGGCUGAGGCAGGAGGAAACUGAAAAGAAACAGGCUGUGCCUAUUGGGGGGAGCGGAGUUUUGAACCAGCCAAUAAAAUUAAGACAAAUGUAAAAGAAAGCCUAAUAUGGAUAUAACUUGCUUAGGCAAUCUCCGGGGAAGAAUGUGAACCCUGUAGUACUCAACCAGUGAGGAACCAGAGGGGAGACCUGCAUGCUAGGGAAUAAAUUGCUCCAACUGCCCUGGGUGUGCAUGUUUACCAGACACCCAAUCUUUCAAGAUCACCAUUAAAGCUUCACUCUGCCGGUC